AAACCAGCACCUCAAGUGGUCAGGAUGAUUAUUGGGCCUAAAGCAUCCGUAGCCGGCUCUGUAAGUUUUCGGUUAAAUCUGUAUGCUCAACAUACAGGCUGCCGGGAAUACUGCAGAACUAGGGAGUGGGAGAGGUAGACGGUACUCGGGAGGAAGUGGUAAAAUGCUUUGAUCUCUCGAUGACCACCUGUGGCGAAGGCGGUCUACCAGAACACGUCCGACGGUGAGGGAUGAAAGCUGGGGGAGCAAACCGGAUUAGAAACCCCAGUAGUCC
rnacentral:rRNA from 1 species